rnacentral:lncRNA from 1 species
CUCUUAUACAAUCCUUAAGUGUUAUUUUGUUUGAUACCUUCUUUAUGCAAUUAUUGUAUGAAUACUGUUCCUGUUUGAAAUCUUUUGUAUUGUACUGUUUAUUGAGCCUUGAAGGGUACAAGGGAGAUUUUGUCCGCGGUACAGAAAAAAUUCUGUCCAUUCGGCACUGUCGGCGAUCCGAAUCCGGCCAAAUAGGCGUAGGGCUCGGGGCGUGACACCAAGUUUCUCAUCAUAAGUCCAAUCUACGUCUCGGAUCACGCGCAAAAAUUUAUUAGCAUGUUUUUUGUAAAUAUAUAUUAGUGUAUCAGUGAUCGUUUAGAAGACCUUUUGAUGUAAAUGNGUAUUUUUCUUUCUAUUUUUUUAAUUAUGCUCUCUCUCUUUAACUUAUACUCUCUCUUCCUUUUUUCUAAAAAGAUGUUGAAAAUUUUGGUAACAUUAUCUAAAAUUAAAUAAAUAAAUAAAUAAAUAAAAUGUAUGUUUUUUGCAAUAUUAAAUAACAUGGCUAAUUAAUAUUACCGUGCGAACCAAACACAGGAAUUCCACAUUCUUAAUAAUAUGAUGAAUAGGAAUAAGAUUCUCGGAUAUCUUUUAUUUCUAGUAAUCUUUCAUAAUGCGAACCAAACGCACCCUAAGUGUUAUAUUAUUUGAUAUCUUCUUUAUGCAAUUAUUGUAUGAAUACUGUUCAUGUUUGAAAUCUUUUGUAUUGUAUUAUUUAUUGAGCCUUGAACGGUACAAGGGAGACUCUGUCCGCGGUACAGAAAAAAUUCUGUCCAUUCGGCGCUGUCGGCGAUCCGAACCC